rnacentral:rRNA from 1 species
AGAGUUUGAUCCUGGCUCAGGAUGAACGCUAGCAGCAGGCCUAAUACAUGCAAGUCGGACGGUAGCCGACCCUUCGGGGCCGGCGAGAGUGGCGGACGGGUGCGUAACGCGUAUGCAACCAACCCCCCACAGCGGGACAGCCGGUGGAAACGCCGGGCAAUCCCGCAUGCCGCCGUGUCGGGGCAUCCCGGCAUGGCGAAAGGCUACGGCCGGUGGGGGACGGGCAUGCGUGCCAUUAGCUGGUUGGCGGGGCGACGGCCCACCAAGGCGACGAUGGCUAGGGGAUCUGAGAGGACGGUCCCCCACACUGGUACUGAGACACGGACCAGACUCCUGCGGGAGGCAGCAGUAAGGGAUAUUGGGCAAUGGGGGGAACCCUGACCCAGCCAUGCCGCGUGAGGGAAUGGGGCCCUACGGGUCGUGAACCUCUUUUGCCGGGGGACAACGGCGGCGUCGAGAACGCCGCGUGCGGGUACCCGGCGAAUAAGCGUCGGCUAACUCCGUGCCAGCAGCCGCGGUAAUACGGAGGACGCGAGCGUUAUCCGGAUUCAUUGGGUUUAAAGGGUGCGCAGGCGGCCUGCCAAGUCAGCGGUGAAAGCCCGGGGCCCAACCCCGGAAGUGCCGUUGAUACUGUCGGGCUGGAAUGCGGUCGAGGCGGGCGGAACGUGGCGUGUAGCGGUGAAAUGCGUAGAUAUGCCACAGAACGCCGAUAGCGGAGGCAGCUCGCCAGGCCUGCAUUGACGCUCGGGCACGAAAGCGUGGGGAUCGAACAGGAUUAGAUACCCUGGUAGUCCACGCCG